AUUGAACGCUGGCGGCAGGCCUUACACAUGCAAGUCGAACGGCAGCGCAGGAUUCGCCCUCGCUUCCAGGGGCGGACUGGUGAGUAAUGCAUCGGAACGUGCCCAGUAGUGGGGUAUAGCGCGGCGACGGCGGGAUUAAUACCGCAUACGACCUGAGGGUGCAAGCGGGAGACCGGCGGACCUCCCGCUAUUGGACCAGCCGAUGUCGGAUUAGCUAGUUGGUGGGGUAAAGGCCUACCAAGGCGACGAUCCGUAGCUGGUCUGAGAGGAUGAUCAGCCACACUGGAACUGAGACACGGUCCAGACUCCUACGGGAGGCAGCAGUGGGGAAUAUUGGACAAUGGGCGCAAGCCUGAUCCAGCCAUACCGCGUGGGUGAAGAAGGCCUUCGGGUUGUAAAGCCCUUUUGUUGGGGAAGAAAAGCAGCAGGUUAAUACCCCGCUGUUCUGACGGUACCCAAAGAAUAAGCACCGGCUAACUUCGUG
rnacentral:rRNA from 1 species